AAAUGAAUUGACGGGGGCCCGCACAAGCAGUGGAGCAUGUGGUUUAAUUCGAAGCAACGCGAAGAACCUUACCAAGUCUUGACAUCCCUCUGACCGGUCCGUAAUGGGACCUUCUCUUCGGAGCAGAGGAGACAGGUGGUGCAUGGUUGUCGUCAGCUCGUGUCGUGAGAUGUUGGGUUAAGUCCCGCAACGAGCGCAACCCUUAUCUUUAGUAGCCAGCACAUAAUGGUGGGGACUCUAGAGAGACUGCCGGGGAUAACUCGGAGGAAGGUGGGGAUGACGUCAAAUCAUCAUGCCCCUUAUGAUUUGGGCUACACACGUGCUACAAUGGUGGCGACAAAGGGAAGCGAGCAAGUGAUUGUAAGCAAACCCCAAAAAAGCCAUCUCAGUUCGGAUUGUAGUCUGCAACUCGACUACAUGAAGCUGGAAUUGCUAGUAAUCGCGAAUCAGAAUGUCGCGGUGAAUACGUUCCCGGGCCUUGUACACACCGCCCGU
rnacentral:rRNA from 1 species